AAAUAUUUUUCAGUGGAGCAUAGGACUUUGUUACAAGAAAAAAACUGUCAUAUUUCAAAGUGGUUACUUUUCUCCUCCCCCUGCCAAAGACACGAGAUGAUUUUUCUUGGCUCUUCAUGAUGAGAACUUGGUGGGGUUCUUGGAGGUAAAAACCUCUGAAUAUGCAGAACCCCUUCUAAGACUGUGACUCCAAGGAGUUUUUAUUCUUGAGCUAUGUCACACUCAACUUACAGCAAUUUAUCUGAAUUACCAUUCAGGUGAUCCAUCCACUUUUUAGUUCCGUGGUUCCUGCUCCAGAAGACAAGGACAAACUGAUACAUCAUCAAAAGAAUUUAUUUAGCCAGAGUGAAUACAUUCUUCUUUAUCCUCAUUGUCUUUAUGGAAACCUCCAAAUGAGCAGCAGUGCACAUCUAUAAAGGAUACAUGGAUGAUUCAGAGAAAAAAAAGUGACCAUGAUUUGGGACCAGAUCCACACAGCGAUCUCUCCAACAUGGGUGGAAAAGGAUGUUCUUGGCCACAUUAAUCACACCUCUCUCCAGAAAUCCAGGCACCAGGAAUUAAGCCAAACACCAGAUGAGGGCUCCCCAUGUGCUGUUAAGAACUGCAGCCUUCCUGCAGGAGCAUCAGUAGACCCAAAAGGCCAGAAAACA
rnacentral:lncRNA from 10 species